AGAGUUUGGUCCUGGCUCAGGACGAACGCUGGCGGCGCGCCUAACACAUGCAAGUCGAACGAGCGAGAGAGAGCUUGCUUUCUUGAGCGAGUGGCGAACGGGUGAGUAACGCGUGAGGAACCUGCCUCAAAGAGGGGGACAACAGUUGGAAACGACUGCUAAUACCGCAUAAGUCCACGGCUCGGCAUCGAGCAGAGGGAAAAGGAGCAAUCCGCUUUGAGAUGGCCUCGCGUCCGAUUAGCUAGUUGGUGAGGUAACGGCCCACCAAGGCGACGAUCGGUAGCCGGACUGAGAGGUUGAACGGCCACAUUGGGACUGAGACACGGCCCAGACUCCUACGGGAGGCAGCAGUGGGGAAUAUUGCACAAUGGGGGAAACCCUGAUGCAGCGACGCCGCGUGGAGGAAGAAGGUCUUCGGAUUGUAAACUCCUGUUGUUGAGGAAGAUAAUGACGGUACUCAACAAGGAAGUGACGGCUAACUACGUGCCAGCAGCCGCGGUAAAACGUAGGUCACAAGCGUUGUCCGGAAUUACUGGGUGUAAAGGGAGCGCAGGCGGGAAGACAAGUUGGAAGUGAAAUCCAUGGGCUCAACCCAUGAACUGCUUUCAAAACUGUUUUUCUUGAGUAGUGCAGAGGUAGGCGGAAUUCCCGGUGUAGCGGUGGAAUGCGUAGAUAUCGGGAGGAACACCAGUGGCGAAGGCGGCCUACUGGGCACCAACUGACGCUGAGGCUCGAAAGUGUGGGUAGCAAACAGGAUUAGAUACCCUGGUAGUCCACACUGUAAACGAUGAUUACUAGGUGUUGGAGGAUUGACCCCUUCAGUGCCGCAGUUAACACAAUAAGUAAUCCACCUGGGGAGUACGACCGCAAGGUUGAAACUCAAAGGAAUUGACGGGGGCCCGCACAAGCAGUGGAGUAUGUGGUUUAAUUCGACGCAACGCGAAGAACCUUACCAAGUCUUGACAUCCUGCGACGCACAUAGAAAUAUGUGUUUCCUUCGGGACGCAGAGACAGGUGGUGCAUGGUUGUCGUCAGCUCGUGUCGUGAGAUGUUGGGUUAAGUCCCGCAACGAGCGCAACCCUUAUGGUCAGUUACUACGCAAGAGGACUCUGGCCAGACUGCCGUUGACAAAACGGAGGAAGGUGGGGAUGACGUCAAAUCAUCAUGCCCUUUAUGACUUGGGCUACGCACGUACUACAAUGGCGUUAAACAAAGAGAAGCAAGACCGCGAGGUGGAGCAAAACUCAGAAACAACGUCCCAGUUCGG
rnacentral:rRNA from 1 species